rnacentral:rRNA from 1 species
AGCGAACGCUGGCGGCAGGCCUAACACAUGCAAGUCGAACGGACCUUUCGGGGUUAGUGGCGGACGGGUGAGUAACACGUGGGAACGUGCCUUUAGGUUCGGAAUAGCCCCUGGAAACGGGUGGUAAUGCCGAAUGUGCCCUUAGGGGGAAAGAUUUAUCGCCUUUAGAGCGGCCCGCGUCUGAUUAGCUAGUUGGUGAGGUAAUGGCUCACCAAGGCUACGAUCAGUAGCUGGUCUGAGAGGAUGACCAGCCACAUUGGGACUGAGACACGGCCAAAAGUCCUACGGGAGGCAGCAGUGGGGAAUCUUGCGCAAUGGGCGAAAGCCUGACGCAGCCAUGCCGCGUGGAUGAUGAAGGUCUUAGGAUUGUAAAAUCCUUUCACCGGUGAAGAUAAUGACUGUAGCCGGAGAAGAAGCACCGGCUAACUUCGUGCCAGCAGCCGCCGUAA